CGCGAAGACCUUACAACGCGAAGAACCUUACGGCGCUGAGAACCUUACAGCGCGUGAGAACCUGCGUUGGGUUAAGUCCCGCAACGAGCGCUACCCUCGUGUUUAGUUGCCAUCUUUGAAUUUGGAACCCUGAACAGACUGCCGGUGAUAA
rnacentral:rRNA from 1 species